AUUGAACGCUGGCGGCAUGCCUUACACAUGCAAGUCGAACGGCAGCACGGGUGCUUGCACCUGGUGGCGAGUGGCGAACGGGUGAGUAAUACAUCGGAACAUGUCCUGUAGUGGGGGAUAGCCCGGCGAAAGCCGGAUUAAUACCGCAUACGAUCUACGGAUGAAAGCGGGGGACCUUCGGGCCUCGCGCUAUAGGGUUGGCCGAUGGCUGAUUAGCUAGUUGGUGGGGUAAAGGCCUACCAAGGCGACGAUCAGUAGCUGGCCUGAGAGGGUGAUCGGCCACACUGGGACUGAGACACGGCCCAGACUCCUACGGGAGGCAGCAGUAGGGAAUCUUCGGCAAUGGACGAAAGUCUGACCGAGCAACGCCGCGUGAGUGAAGAAGGUUUUCGGAUCGUAAAGCUCUGUUGUAAGAGAAGAACGGGUGUGAGAGUGGAAAGUUCACACUGUGACGGUAUCUUACCAGAAAGGGACGGCUAACUACGUG
rnacentral:rRNA from 1 species